rnacentral:rRNA from 1 species
UACGUAGGGGGCAAGCGUUGUCCGGAAUCAUUGGGCGUAAAGCGCGUGUAGGCGGCCCGAUAAGUCCGCUGUGAAAGUCCAGGGCUCAACCCUGGAAUGCCGGUGGAUACUGUCGGGCUCGAGUCCGGAAGAGGCGAGUGGAAUUCCUGGUGUAGCGGUGAAAUGCGCAGAUAUCAGGAGGAACACCAAUGGCGAAGGCAGCUCGCUGGGACGGUACUGACGCUGGAGACGCGAAAGCGUGGGGAGCAAACAGG